rnacentral:lncRNA from 1 species
CUAUAGCUCUGAUUCCACCCCUAGCCUGGAACCUCCAUAUGCUGCGAGUGGGGACCUAAAAAGACAAAAAACAAAACAAAACAAACAGUAAAUAUGAAUAAACAAUGAUAGCAUGGUGGUUCUAAAGACAAAGAAAUAGGGCGUUCCUGUCAUGGCUCAGCAGUAUAUGAACCUGACUAGCAUCCGUGUGGAUGCAGGUUCAAUCCGUGUCCGUGCUCCGUGAGUUAAGGAUCCGGCAUUGCUGUGGCUGUGGUAUAGGCCAGCAGCUGCAGCUCCCAUUCGACCCCUAACUUUGGAACUUCCAUAUGCCUCUAGUGCAGCCCUAAAAACCAAAAAAAAAAAAAAAGAAAAGAAAAAACAGCACACAGAUGUCUCUAAAUUGAUUAUUUAAAACUCAGUAUAAUUAAAAAUAUAGAAACCCAGGGAAGAGAUCGAGCUGCAUAUUCGUGUUGACAUGAAACAAGAACAACCUCCCAGCUUAGUAUUUCCUCUCUAUGCUUAAUUUCUUACCCACCAUGGUGUGUGUACUCACAUACCUACAAGAAUGAUGGUUGACUUUUAUAAUUUCCUACCUCUCAGCAAAUUCCAUGCCAACCCUAGAGCCAAGGCAGGCAGACACAAAACAAACGCAGGUACAAUGUACACACACCAGUUCAAACCAUCAAAAAGUGUCCUGGUAGCAAUCAGAUGGCGAUUUUUCACCUGGUCCUCAGCAGCUGGCCCCAGAGUCUGUGCUUCUAAAUGUGAACACACAGGUUCCCCUCGUCAUGGACAUCAAAGCCCAGCUUCCUCACGGAGACAAGAGAGAUUUCUCAGAGAUUUUGCCUUCCAGCCUUUUGGGAAGCCGAGAGGCUGUUAACCAGAUGGAGAUGGCAAAUGUCACAGGGCUUGCAACUCCUACUUGCGUUUGCAAAACAAAGAAACACAGAUACAAGUUUAUUUCAAUGGAUUGUUUGGGUUAAUUCCCACCCCGGGUCACCUGGCGUCACCCAUCCUUUGAGAAGGAAGAAUUUUAGACUUUGAAUUAAUAGCAAGCAAGGAAGGAGGAGGGAGGCAACCACUGGUGUUGACCCAGGGAGCCAGAAGGAUGACUAACCUUGAGUAAACACGGCCAUCGGUCCAUCUGUGUGCAAAGGCGGAUCCUACCCAGUCCUACCUAUAUCAGAUGCCUCGCAGUCUCAAGCCUAGAGCCUUUAACCUCAUUUUUUUGCUGUUUUCCUUUCCUGUUGACUUGAGGGUAAAAGGCAGUGAAGUGAUUAGAGGGAGGGGUCCCCUCUCCCCCAUAGGAGUCUCCAGGCCUGUCUGGUGUGUUUGUCAGGGUGGAGGCGCCAUGGAGGCGCUUCACGGGAGCCAGUGGUAGCCUUUGCCACUGUCCAGAAUACACUUAAAGAGAAGGCUUUCAGGUAAAGGUUUCUUUUUAAGCUGAUGAGCCCCAGAGACACAGAUAAUUGUUACUGAUAAGACUACGGGGUACGCAGAACAUCUGAAAGCAGGAACCUGAACAUAAGCAUAGUGAGUACUGGACUUGGAAAGGGGCUUGGAGAUGCUGCUUCCUUUUAACAUAUAAUCAGAGGGUGAUUUCAUUUCUGUCCUGCCUGCAAACACUUGUUAUAUAAUAACUGUGAAGGCAACUCGUAGUCACAAAUUCUGAGAGGAAGGUCUAAGUUUCAAUGCAGUGUUCAGUUUGAUCUAUGAUUACAACAAACACCCUUAGCUCUUAGUCUUUGAUGCCCAGAUGGAUGGUAAGAAUUUUCCUUCUCUUUCCCAGUUAAGAACUGGGAAUUAAAUUAAAAGUAAUAGAGUUCCCAGGCUAGGGGUCUAAUUGGAGCUGUAGCCACUGGCCUCCACCAGAGCAACUUGGGAUCCAAGCCGCAUCUGCAACCUACACCAUAGCUCACGGUGACGCUGGAUCCUUAACCCACUGAGCGAGGCCAGGGAUCGAACCCACAACCUCAUGGUUCCUAGUCAGAUUCAUUAACACUGAGCCACGUCAGAAACUCCAAAAUAUUACUAUUUUUGAUAAAAGUCCAAGAUAAUUAGGACAACUAUUUUGUGGUGUUGAUUCUCUUUACUGGUGUUUUUAAGACGUUGUUUGGUCCAUGCUCAAGUUCUUUCAGGUAUUUCUCACAUGGAAGAGUGACUAUCAUAAAAACACCUGUAACUGUGGUGGCAUUGUUUUGGUCCACACAUCACUAACCCCCACUGGGAAAUCUUCAGACUAUCUUAAGACAGUGGUCUGACCCUGUGGUCAGUCCGGGUGCCAAGUCACUGGGAGGAUCUGCCUCCCUAAUACAUUGUCAUUCGCUGAAAGCACAGUUAAGUUGGCAUCACAGUGAGGACAAACCCCCAUUAUGCCAUUUUUCAGUAGCUUUUAAAUAUUGAAUAAACCUGAAUUUCUGCAAUGUAAGGGCCUUUGAGGGAUUUCAAAGCUUUACUAGUCUCCCUGCCUCGCUGGAAUAUAGGUCAAGUUCGUUUAAGUCCUGUUUAGCCAAAGACAGAUUAUAUGGAGACGGAAAAGAAAAAGUUUAACUUUACGAAGACAUGCCGAGGCUCUGGAUAGGGCUGAGAGCCAGUGAAUUUCUCCCGUGGCAUAUUUCGUCUUGCAUUCCCCUCCCUCGCUUGAAUUAUGACCUAACUGGGCCAAGACUGUCCCGGCUUCAGGGACUUCUCAACCAAGAGCAUAUACUGAGUUUGGAAAGUUUGGUUCUCAUUCAAUAAAGUAAGAAGAUUUAAAAACAAAAAGAUCAAUAGUUUUGUUUUUUGUUUUUUUAAAAAAAAAAGAAGAAGAAGAAGAAAGAGUUCCUGUCAUGGCUCAAUGGACACAAAUCUGACCCACAUCCAUGAGGACACAAGUUGGAUCCCUGGCCUUGCUCAGUGGGUUAAGGCUCCAGGGUUCCAUGAGCUGUGGUGUAGGUCACAGACAUGGCCUGGAUCCGGUGUUGCUGUGACUGUGGUGUAGGCCAGCAGCUACAGCUUCGAUUUGACCCCUAGCCUGGGAACUCCCCCCCCACCCCCGUACCCCCAUAUGCCUCGGGUAUGGCUCUAAAAGAGACCAAAAAAAAAAAAAAAAA